GGGCUACACACGUACUACAAUGGCCGGUACAAAGGGCAGCGACAUUGCGAGAUGGAGCGAAUCCCGAAAAGCCGGUCUCAGUCCGGAUUGGAGUCUGCAACUCGACUCCAUGAAGUUGGAAUCGCUAGUAAUCGUGGAUCAGCAUGCCACGGUGAAUACGUUCCCGGGCCUU
rnacentral:rRNA from 1 species